AGCUGAGGCACAUGCCUUGGGAGCUAAGUGGUUACUGCACUUGACCACUAUGAAGACUGGUGUGGGAAGGGUCGCUUUGGAUGCACUUGAGCAGGGCUCCCCAACCCCUGAGCCAUGGAGCCGUAAGGAGCCACACAGCAGGAGGUGGGACCAUCCAGUUGCAGGAAAACAAGCUUAACAUGCCCACUGAUUCUACAUUAUGCUCCUACCUCCCGGCAGCCUCUCCAGGCCCAGAACUUUCUCCAGUCAGCCUCUACAGACCAAGCUCAUGACUCACAAUGGCCUAUUUAGGCCCAUACCCUACCUCACGGCAGUCUCCGCAGAUGAGCCUACUGCCUCACAACAGCCUCCACAGGCACAGCUCCAUCGUUACAAUGGCCUCUUUAGACCCAGCUCCUGCCUCCCAGCCUUCUCUCUAGGCCCUGAACUUUCUGAAGUCGACCUCACCAGGCCCAGCUCAUGCUUCUUUGCAGCCUCUCCAGGCCCAGCUCCUGCAUCUUGGUGGCCCCUCCAGGCCCAGCCUCUGCCUCCCGUCGGCCUCUACAGUCCCAACAUCUGCCUCAUAGCAGAUUCUUGAGGCCCAGCAUCUGCCUCACUGUGGACCCCCCAAGCCAAGCUCCCAACCUUUAGCAGCUUCUACACACCCAGCUCCUGCCACCCAGUGGCCUCUUUAGGCCAAGCUCAUGCUUCACAAGGGCCUUUCCAGGCCCAACUUUCGUCUCAUGGCAACCUUCCCUGGCCAGAUUCCUGCGUGUCUCCCAGCAGCCUAGACAGGCCCAGGUCUUGCCUCACACUGGCCUCUCUACAUCCAGCUCAUGCCUCACAGUGACCUCUCCAGGCACAGCUCCUGUCCCAGAACGUCAUCUCCGGGCCCAAAACUUACUCAAGUCAGCCUCUCUAGUCCCAACUGCUGCCUCCUGGUGGCCUAUGAAGGCCCAAAAUCUCCUCAAGUUGACCUCUCCCGGCCCAGCUCCUGCCUCCUGUCAGCGUCUACAGGCCCAACCUCUGCCUCAUGGGGGCUUCUCCAGGCCCAGCUCUUCCUCUUGGCUGAGUCUACAGGCACAACUGCUGCCUCACAACAGCCUUUUUUGGCCCAGUUCCUGUCCAGCUCAUGGCAGCCAAUGUAGGCCCAAAACUUCCUCAAGUCAUACUCUCCAGGCCCACCUUCUGCUUCCCGGUGGCAUGAACAGGCCCAGCUUUGACUUGAGAACAGCCUCUGCAGGGCCUGCUCUUGCCUCCCAGGGGCUUUUCCAAGCCCAGCUCUUGCCUCAUGGCAGCUGCCUCAGGCCAAAUUUCUUCCUGCCUGCCAGCAGCCUCAACAGGCACAGCUCCUCCCUCACGGUGGCCCAUUUAGGCCCAACUCAUGACUGUCGGGCCAUUUCCAGGCCUAGUGCCUGCCUCCUGGCUGACUCUUGAAGCCCAAAACUUCCUCAAAUCAGCCUUUUGCCCAACUUGUGUCUACUGUCGGACUCUACAGGCCAGCCUCUGCCUCACAGUGGACCCUGCAGACCCAGAUGGUGUCUCACUGUGGCAUCCUCAGGCAAAGCUCCUGCCUUUCGGCAGCCUCUACGGGGCCAGCUCCUGCCUUGCAGUGGCCUCUUCAGGCCAAGCUCAUGCCCCAUGGCGACUUUUCCAGGCACAGCUUUUGCCUUUUGCAGCCUGUCCAGGCCCAGAAUGUCCUUAACUCGGCAUCUCCAGGACGAGCUCAUCCUCCCAGUGCGUCUACAGGCCCAUCUCCUGCCUCACAACAACCUCCUUUGGCCCAACUCCUGCUGAGCUGCUGGCAGCCUCUGUAGGCCACAGACUUCUUAAAGUAAAGUUUUCCAGGCCCACCUUCGGCCUCCCAGCAGCCUCAGCAAUCAAACUAUUCCCUCACUGCGGCCACCGAAAGCCAAGUUUCUCCCUGCCUCACAGCAUCCUCCGAAAACUGAGCAUUUGCCUCACGGUGGCCUCCCCAGGCCACGAAUCUGCCUGCCUCCCAGGCAGGUGCUGCCUCACAAUGGUCUCUUUAGGCCCAGCUUAUGCUAAAAAAUGGACUCUCCAGGCACAGCUCUUGCCUCCUGUUAGCCUCUGCAGGCCCAAAUUCUCCAAAAGUUGGCCUCUCCUAACUCAGCUCCUGCCUCAUGUCGGCCUACACAGGCCCAGACUCUUACCACACAGUAGACCCUCCAGGCCCACCACUUGCCUGAUCAUAGCCUCCUGAGGCCAAGCUCCUGCCUUUCGGCAGCCUCUACAGGCCCAGCUCCUGCCUCACAGUUGCCUUUGUAGGCCAAGAUCAUGCCGCAAAGUGGCCUUUCCUAGCCUAACUUUUGCUUUUUGAUGCAUACUCCAGUCCCAAAACUUCCUCCAGUCAGCCGGUCCAGGCCAAGCUCUUCCUCCCAAAGGCUUCUGCAGGCCAAAAUCGUCCUGAAGUCACCCUCUGCAGGCCCAGCUCCUGCCUCCAAGUGCUGUGUAGGCCAAGCUAAUGCCUCACAGCACACUUUCCAGGCUGAGCGUUUCCUUUUGUGCAUCCUCUCCAAGCCCUGAACUUACUCCACUUGGCCUCUCCAGACCAAGCUCUCCCUCCCAGUGGCCUCUACAGGCCAAAACUGUCCUCAGGUCAGCCUCUCCAGGGCCAACUCCUAGCUACCAGUGGCUUCUACAGGCCAAAAUCGACCUCAAGUCAGCCUCUUCACACCCAGCUCUUGCCUCUGAGUGGCCUCUCCAGGAGCAAAACUUUCUCAAGUCGGCCUCUCCAGGCCCAGCCUCCUGCUUCCCGAGGGCAUGUACAGGCCCAGCCUCUGCCUCACAGCAGACUCUCCACACCCAGCUCUUCCCUGUCUGCGGCCUCUCCAGUCCAAAGCUGCUCCUGCCUUUUGGCAGCUUGUACAGGCUCAGCUCCUCCCUCACGGUGGCCUCUUUCGGCCCAACUCAUGCCUCUUGCAACCUGCCCAAGUGUCAGCUCCUGCCUCACACUGGCCUGUUGAGGCCCAGCUUAUGCCUCUCGUGGCCUCAACAGGCCCAUUCCCUGCCUGUCGGCGGCCUCUACAGGCCCGGCCUCUACCUCACAGUGGGCUCUCCAGGCCCACCUCUUCCUCACCGUGGCCUCCUGGGGCAAUGCUCCUCCCUCUCGGGAGCCUCUGCGGGCCCAGCUCCUGCCAGUGGCCUCUGUAGGCCAAGCCCAUGCCUCAGGGCAGCCUUUCCAGGCCUAGUGUUUGCUGCUUUGCAUCCUCUCCAGGCCCUGGACUUCCUCCAGUCGGCCUCUCCAGGCCCAGCUCUUCCUCUCGGCGGCCUCUGCAGGCCCAGACUGUCGUCAAGUCAGUCUGUCCAGGGCCAGCUCCUGCCUCCCGGUGGCCUCUGCAGGCCCAAGUCGUUCUCAAGUCGGCUUCCCCAGGCCCAGCUCCGGCCUCUCGGCGGCCUCUCCGGGUGCAAAAGUUCCUCGAGUCAGCCUCUCCAGGCCCAGCUCCUCCUGCCUCCCAGUGGCCUCUUUCGGCCCAGCCCAGCUCAUGCCUCCCAGCGGCCUUCCCAGGCCCCGCUUUUGACUUUCGGUGGCCUCUGCAGGCCUCGACAAGGCCUGGCCUCCUGCCUCCCGAAGGCCUGCACAGGCCCAGCCUCUGCCUCACAGCAGACUCUCCACGCCCAGCUAGCUCUCGCCUCACUGCAGCCUCCCAAGUCCAAAGCUCCUGCCUCUCGGCCGCUUCGGCAGGCCCAGCUCCCGCCUGCCAGUGGCCUCUUCAGGCCCAUGGGGCUCAUUCCUCACAACGGCCUUUCCAGGCCCAGUUUUUCCCUUCCGGCGGCCUCUCCGGGCCCAGAACCUCCUCAAGUCGGCCUCUCCAGACCCACUUGCACCCUCCGGGUGUCCUCUCUGGGCCCAGCUCUUCUUCCUGGUUGCGUCUCCAGGCCCGACUCCUGCCUCUCAACAACCUCUUUGGACUCAGUGCCUACCCAUCUCCUGGCGGCCUUGGUCGGCCCACAGCUUCCUGAAGCCAAGCUCCCCAGGCCCAGGUCAGGCCUCACGGUGGCCUCUCCAGGCUCAGCUCCUGCCCUCCGAUGGCAUCUGCAGGCCCCAAACGGCCUCCGGUCGGUGGGCUCCUCUAGGCCCAGCUUGGGCCUCCCGGCGGCCUCUGCAGGCCCAAGUCGUCCUCAAGUCGGCCUGGAAUUGGGCCUGGAAGAGCAGCAAGUCGGCCUCCCCGGGCCCAGCUCCGUCCUCUCGGCGGCCUCUCCAGGUGCAAAACUUCCUCGAGUCAGCCUCUCCAGGCCCAGCUCCUCCUGCCUCCCAGUGGCCUCUUUCAGCCCAGCCCAGCUCAUGGCUCUCAGCGGCCUUCCCAGGUCCCGCUUUUGACUUUUGGCAGCCUCUUCAGGCCCAGAACUUGACCUCCAGUCGGCCUUUGCAGUCCCGGCCUCCUGCCUCCCGAAGGCCUGCACGGGCCCGGCCUCGGCCUCGGCCUCACAGCGGACUCUCCACGCCCAGCUAGCUCUCGCCUCACUGCGGCCUCCCCAGUCCAAAGCUCCUGCCUUUCGGCCGCUUCUGCAGGCCCAGCUCCCGCCUGCCAGUGGCCUCUUUAGGCCCAGCUUAUUCCUCACAACGGCCUUUCCAGGCCCCGUUUUUCACUUCUGGCAGCCUCUUGGACUCUAAUUUUUUUAUCUUUUGUGUAUAAAUCCCAAAAUAUGGAAUUUUGGAAUAUUUCCAUCAUUAUAUAAAUAUUUUGGUAGGUAAUUUAUUUGGAGUGAGUUUCUGCACCAAGCCCGAAUUUUUUAUUUUAUUUUCCUUAUUAUUUGGUGUUAAACAGGUUUAAUGACGGUCAUGGCAACUUUCUGGCACAAUAAAAAAUAUCCCCG